rnacentral:lncRNA from 1 species
UGUAUACAUAGAGUAACAUAAUGUGAAUAUAUAUAUAUAUACAAUUCUUCCUUUCACAAUGUACUGGAGUUAUGUAUCUGCACACUGUCUCCCACAGUAAGACAGCGAUCUCCACAUCUUUGUAAAAACCUUUGACCUUAAUGCCCUUUCUGGCACAUAGUGAGCACUCAAUAAAUAUUUGUUAAAAUGAGAUGAACUAAACUGGUCUCUUGCUCUUCUUUCAAACCGGUCAAAUAUACUCUUUUACCCACCCACUCCUGAAAUUCCUUUUCUCUCUCUGGUGCCAAAACCCUUCUAUACACCUGAAGCUUCACCUGUUCUCCUUUCUGAACUGCAGUCAAAUCCAUGUUUCAAGAUGUUAGGUCCAAAUAUCAGUAUACCAAACUCUCACUCUGCUAGAUACACUUGGCCUGCUCACUCCUUCUCCUUUAUGGGACUAUGAGAGUUGAAUCCUCUGCUGGGCAGAUUCUCUUGUGUUUUCCAUCACACCCUGCCUCUGCCAGUAUGUUAGGUAUUACACCAGCAUCAAUAUCAUUGCUCAGGAAGGCUUUUAGUCAUAGGACCAAACCUAUUUACAUCCUGCACACUGGUGACUCAUGUGUAAAGCACCUGCCAGUGAUGAAGGCCACCUAUUGAAAUACAUGACUCCCUACUCAAAGCUGAUCCACAGACCGGCAUCAUUGGCACUUCUUAGAGCUUGGAAAUGCACAUUCCCAGACUUUACCUAAUACUACUAAAACAUAAAAGGCUCACUAAAGUUUAAGAAACUCUGUGCUAAGGUACCAGGUCACCUGGCUAGACACACAGGUCAGCAAUGUAUGGUCAAUGACAGGAGGUAGUUCCAAGGAAGACACUGGGUGAACACACUCUGGGUAUGAGAUCCAGGUGACCCUAUUUCAGAUUCCAGGUGUAUUUCCUACAAGGUAUUCUUCUCUGGCAUAGGCAACUUAUUGCCCUGUUUGAUCUUUAUUAAUAAAAUGGGGAUGAAAGCACUUAUCCAGCCUGGAGGACAAGUGCAGUGGCAGUAUAGGUCAAGUACGUAGCAGAGAACUUGACCUGUAACAGGCACUCAACUGCUAUUAAUUUUCCACUUCCCA